UUGGUGCGUAUUUAUCAAAAUCUGGACAGACGGCUUCAUUUACAUCUCUUUAGAUUCUCGCUACCUUCUUUUAUACGCCUAUUAAUCCGAUCGUAUCAUCACUGUGUUCCAGCUGUCUUCACUGCAAUAACCAUGUGGAAGUUCAAGCCAUUCAUGCAAAAAGAACCUACAGGGCUUGAAGGUCGCUCCAUUGAUGUUGGCAAUCUUAAAAUUCAUGUCCAAAAAGCCUUUGCUGAGGGAGUGUUCUCAUGUGUUUACCUUGCUCGGGAUGCUGUAGACCCAUCAAAGCAGGAUGCUUUGAAGCACAUGGUAUGCAAUGAUGAGGAAUCACUUGAACUUGUGAUGAAGGAGAUCUCUGUGAUGAAAUCACUUAUAGGACAGGACAUCCCAGUAUUGUCACACUUCAUGCACAUUCAAUCUUUGACAGAGGGAGAGUGAUGGAUGGAAUACUCCUAAUCCUGUGUCGUGGAAACCGACUAUUUUGCUGCUAACCCCGCAGCCAGCUCCCAGAGAUUGAGUUCUAGUGGCGAACAAAAUAAUAUUCAGGGCAUUGCAAGUCCAAGAUUGCCGAGAGUCAGUCAACUACUCAACCUGCUGGAUGGGCUGGUUUCUGACGCUUUCUGGGAGGUGAGGAGGAUUUUGGUGAGACUAAUAAUUAGUUACUUGGUUCUCUUGGUUGAAUCGAUAAGGAGAGUUAAAAGGACUUGGUGUUUUGAUUUUGGAUUUUUCACCAUCAAUUUCUGUAAAUCCAUUGAAGCAAAUAGAGUGUAGACAAUAUGAACUUGUUAUGGACCAGCCAUCCACAAUUGUAUCUCUGUUCCCUGUCUCAAUUGUCUCAUAAAUGUGUUUUUAUCUUCU